AAAGAAGUGGGUGGUAACCACCUCUCGGAGGCAAGCCAGGACCCAUGGAGUCUGAUCUACAACACAAGCAGUAGCAGUUCCACAUCUCCCUACCAGCUCUUAUUUCCUACGAAGUCUUUCUGCCUGAAACUGGAAAACCCGAACUAUUAUUGAGGAAGUGAAGCCCUUCCAUUUGAAUCCUGAGAAAGACGCGCUCAAAGAACCCAGCGAACAAAGAAGAGGGUUGGAGCCCACGCAAAACAUGGGUGUGAUAAAGCCACACGCGACCUGAGCCCCCACCCUCAGUAACUACUCUCCAGCGCCCACCGGGAGGAGGGGUCCGGGGAAAGGAUUGGCAUCCUCUGCUUCUGCAGAAAACAUGGCUACCAACAGCUUCUGAAUCCACCUGCAGAGGAGACUGACUGCUCUGUUAUUCCCCCAGCAUCUGUGAAGAGGCUCUGACUGGCUAAAAUGUGGUAUAGUGAUCACCCCAGGGUUAGGCAACCAUGGCUGGUGAAAAGGAAAAACGUUAUGAACCUGGCUGUGCCGAGCUACCUGAGGAAGCUUGUAGGAGAAGGGUCAGUUUGCAGAGAAAGCGGGGCCUGGGCAGACGACGCAAGAGGUGCCCAUUACAUCCCUCUAGAGGAAGGAGUCUGUAGCUUUAGGGGAAGACAGAGCCACAAGAUGGAAGGAGCUUGGAUGUCUGAACUACUCCAUGGAGAAAAGCUGCAGCCAACGAAGAACACCUGCAAUGGACUCUUAACCUGGGGUGACGACAACCACUGAAAUAUGCUGCAUCUUAGUCCAGGGAUUUUUAAAGUGUGGUUCCUGGAAGAGCUGGAUCAGAGUCAUCUGUGUUGAUGGUUUAACAUAAAGAUUUUCGGGCCCCAAGACUCAAAUAGGACAAGGAAUUUGAAUUUUUAAGCAGCUCACCUGACUUGUCUGUCCUCUAAUGUCUGAAGACAUCUGACCUCUGCUCUUUCAGUAAAAGCAACAAUGGUUUUAUGAGCAUUGUCGUCACAUCUCUCCACUCAAGGGAUCCUUCUCAUUUCUCCCAGCUGAGGUCACCCACAGCUGCUGCUUCUAACUGCUGGCUUCCAGUCUGCUGUCUGCCAGCUGGCUCUACCCUCUCCUAUAACACAGCAGAGAGUAGCUGUGGUCUCCUGCGUGCUCACCCUCUGCUCCCUUGGUCCUGCUCCAUGCUUUGGUCCUGCACUUAAAUUUUACAAGCAUACUCUCUUUCUCUUAAGAAUGAUUUUCAAUGCCAUUUAGAGGAAAUCUUGGGAUCAACUUGGGAAAAGACUGAGGCUCCUGGCUCUGAUCUUUGGGGACUUCAGAUUUUCUGGAUCAAGGUGAGAUACUACAAAUUUGUAAGAAAAAAAGAAAUAUUUUCUCUUUUCAGCAUAAAAGCCAUAAUGUUAAGGAUAUUAAAAAAUAUCAUGUAAUCUGCACUUUGCAUAAACUUAUCUGAAAUUUAGCAUUAAAAUUGUUUUUUACUCUGAGCUACAGGGAAGGUGUCCCAGAAGAAAUGAUGCUUGCUCACUCCAUGUUUCCAUCACCAGGGGAUUGUGUCCUGCAGGGUCACUCUGCCUGCAUUCACUAGGCCUGUUCAGUCUUAGGGAUUUGCAAAGGUUCUCCUAUCCUUCAGGACUUCUGUUUGGAUUGUUCGGAAAUGUCCUUUGUGAUUGAUGGCUCUUGCCUCAUCACCCAUUCAUAAUGAAGGGGAAUAAGCUGAUUAAACACGACAUUUUGUGAGCCCUCCAUUUCCUCUUGCUUCUUGUAUUAGUUUUCUAUGGCUACUGUAAUAAAUCAACACAAAUUUAGUGGCUUAGAACAACAUGAACUUGUUAUCUUGCAUUUCUCUAGGUUUAGAAAUCCAACACAGGUCUCACCAGGCUGAAAUCAAGUUGUUAGCAGGGCUACGUACGUUCCCUUCUGGAGGCCCUGGGGGAAAGCUGUCCCCUUGCCUUUUCCAGCUUCUAAAGGCUGCACACAUUCCUUGGCUUAUAGCCCCUUCUUUACAUCUUCAAAGCCAGCACUGUUGCAUCUCCCUGAAGGUCCUUGAAGUGUAAACCCAUUCUUCAGUUCUUAUCAUUCCACUAACUGCCCCUUACUGCCUCACUUUUCUACCUUUAAGGACCCUUAUGAUUACAUCAGGACCACCCAGAUAAUCCUUGAUACUCUCCUCAUCUCAAGGCCCUUAACUUCAUCAUAUCUGCAAAGUCCCUCUUGCAAUGUAAGCUAACAUAGUCACAUGUUCCCGAGAUUAGGAUGUAGGUAUCUUUGAGGGAGGGCAUUAUUCUACCUACCACUCUUCUUAUUAAGAUUAUGUAUUUCUUUAAAAAUUAAGAAACAUAAAGUUUAUUACUAUAUUAUAAUUUUCAUCAUGAUAAAGUCAAGGUUGAAGUGCAAUAGAUUAUUUGUAAAAAUGGUCACAAUAAUUUCCUUUCUUAUUGGGCGUGGCAGCUCAUGCUGAGGUUGGGGGAAGGAUUGCUUGAAGUAAGGAAUUCAAGACCAGCCUAGGCAACUAAGAGAGAUUCCAUCUCUUCAAUUUUUUUUUUUUUUUUUUUUUUGAGACAGGAUCUUAAUCUGUUGCCCAGGCUGGAGUGCAGAGGCAUGAGCUUGGCCUUCUGCAACCUCUGCCUCCUAGUCUCAGGUGAUCCUCCCACCUCAGCCUCCUGAGUAGCUACAGGUACAUGCCACCACACCUGGCUAAUUUUUUAAAAGUUCUUUUGCCCAGGCUGGUCUUGAACUCCUGAGCUCAUGUGAUCUGCCUGCCUCGGCCUCCCACAGUGCUGGGAUUACAGGCAUGAGCCACCAUGCCUGGCCAAAACAUUUUUUAAAAAAUGAUUUCCUUUCCUUUCCUGUAUCCACACCUUUAUGAAAUCCCCUCUCAUGUGGACUUUGAGCUUGGCCAUAUGACAUACUUUGGCCAGUGAGACUACUGCAAACAUGAUGGAAGCGGAUACUUAAAAAGUACUUGCACACUGGGACUUGCCUUCUCUUGCUACUCUUAAGCCCUUUCUGACUACCAUGUGAAGAGGCCUGGUGCAUAUACUAAGUGAGAAGAUACAUGUGACCUAGGCACCUUUGUCAUCAAGCCAACAGCUAACACUGGGAGGUAGCACCAAUCACUAAGCAGCACAAGCCACCAGACAUUUAGAUGAGGCCACCUGAGAUCAUCCAGGCAGCAGCUGACCCAGCAGAAACCACAGGUAUGUGAAAGAGGCCAGCAGAGGGAAGACAAGCUGGGCCAGAACAGAAGAAUUGUCCAGCUGAACAACAGAAUUGUGAACUAAAUUAAAUUUUGGGGGGAUGGUUGGCUGUGUGGCAAAGGUUAAUUAAUGUGGGAAGGGAUAGGUAAACUAGAAACCAAAGUUGAGAAUAAGGUUGAAUAAACGAAAGUUUAGUUGCAAGGGAGUGGUGACAAAGAAGAGCCCUUAAAGGCAAAAUCAUAGACAACGUUUUUUGGAGAGAUCAUUUGCACAAGUACAGUACAGGCCCCUCCUUCCUCCUCCACCUUCAUGCCCUGACUCUGUGGACGUUCAGUGUCACAAGAAAUGCUCCAAUAAUCCCUUUCAUGGAAUGAUAUAAUGUCAUAAGAAGGAGCGUAAAAAUUCCCUGUUCUGAUUUUCCUAUUUAAUGGGAAGCUCAAAAAGACAAAAUGGCUUGCCCAUUUCAUCCUGAAAGUUUAGCUUAUACAGUGAUAUGCCACAUAAUGAUAUUUUUGGGUCUACAAUGGACCUCAUAUAUGACAGGUGGUCCCAUAAGAUUGUAAUGGAGCUGAAAAAUUCCUAUUGCCUUGUGACCUCGUAGCCAUCGUAAUGUUGUAGCACAAUGCAUUACAUUUGUGGUGAUGCUGAUAGAAACAAACGAACUGUGCUGCCAGGUUUAUCAAAGUAUAGAACAUGCAAUUAUGUACGGUAUAUAAUACUUGACAAUGAUAAUAAAUGACUAUGUUGCUGGUUUGUGUAUUUACUUUUUAUCAUUAUUUUAGGGUGUUCUCCUUCUACUUAUUAAAAAAAAAUAACUGGAAAACAGCCUUAGGCAGGUCCUUCAGGAGUAUUCCAGAAGAAAGCAUUGUUAUCAUAAGAGAUGACAGCUCCAUGCCUGUUAUUGCCCCUGAAGACCUUCCCGUGGAACAAGAUCUGGAGGUGGAAGACAGUGAUAUUGAUGAUCCUUAUUCUGUGUAGGCCUAGGCUAAUGUAUAUAUUUAUGUCUUAGUUUUUAACAAAAAAAGCUU